rnacentral:tRNA from 1 species
ACAGUGGUGGAUCAGUGGUAGAAUUCUCACCUUCCACAUGGGAGACCCAGGUUCAACUUCUGGCCAACGUA